rnacentral:misc_RNA from 1 species
GUCCAGUUGUAUCUGAGAGCCUAGGGAUCCAAAAGAGAGUGCCUUUUGAACACCAAAUUAGUUGGGGUCAAUAAUCUUAUAUGAAUCAAGAAGAAAUGGAUGAAACGAGAAGAAAUAGAGGGUAGAUUUGGCUGAAAGAAGGCUAGAUUAUUCCCUCAAGCUGAUGCGUUUAUAUACUGUAAAAAUUAGAACAGAUAUGGAAAUACAAUCAACUCAGUCAUUCCUAUAAUCACUGCACAAUUCUAGCUCUAAAUGCACUUGAGUUGAAGGUUGAGCACAUUGAAGUUAUAGGAUAUAGCAGGACUGAGGAUGUGUGGAAAGUAGCUGUAGCGAGAGAGUGUUUUGUAGCUCUAGAUUUUUAUGAAGAUGUUCCCACCAAGAGGAAUGGAGGGAAUGGAUUUGUUGGGUUAUUUAAACCAUCUCAUCCUCCAUUUUCUCAACUUUUACUUAAUAAAUGCAUUCAUACCUUGUCCAUCCAUGUAUUUCCACACAUCCAUCUUAACAUCCUUAUUUCUGCCUGCUAAUCUUAGGAACAUCAUGCUUUUCCAUUGCCCAACACUCCUUGCCAUACAUCAUAUGUUAGAAUCCCUU